CUCUUCGUAGCUCAGUUGGUAGAGCAAUUGACUCUUAAUCAAUGGGUCGUGGGUUCGAAUCCCGCCGAGGAGA
rnacentral:tRNA from 1 species